rnacentral:rRNA from 1 species
CUUGGUCCCCAGCAAUGUCUCCAUGUUCGGAGGCAAUGCACCACAGCAGUCAUCUCUUUCUCAUGCACCGAUUACAGCCUCUCAGCCUUUUUUGGCUUCCGGCUUUCAAAGGUUAUGGGGUGGCCCUACUUUUUAGUACCCCACCAAUAGCAUAAUCUGAGGCAUCGGUGUGCACCGAAAAAUUGGAGUGGUCCAGCAGUACUACAAGGAGUUCUUCAGUCUUGGCCGCUUUUAGUUCUGAAAAGGCUUUUUCACACUACUCAUCCCAUUUUCAGGCCUUCUUCUUUUUCAGCAGGUUGGUUAGGGGUGUGCUGAUCUUUGAAUACCCCUUAAUGAAGCAUCGAUAGUAAUUUUUGAGGCCGAGAAACGAGAAAGGCAGCUGAGGCACCCUUUUGGAGGUUCCCACUCCUUUGAUGGCUUGCACCUUCUUCCAUAUUUAUCUUUCCUUUAGAGAUUAGGUAGCUUAGGAUAGGAGAAGAAAAGCCUUUGCCUACCUCCGUAUGCGUAGGCGAGCCAGAAAUGGUAAACGCGUUAUAAGGCCAAUUAGAGCUCGUACGAACAAAGUGAGACUAAUAGGCCUUAGCUACUAUGGUGUACAUAUGUCAGGAAUCACACCAUAGCCAGAGUUGAUCGAGGGAGGAUAAACCUACGUACCUUGGGGCAGGGCCUACUCUUCUUGUCUUUGAAGCAUGGGAACGGAGGUAAAAAAUGUGCUUGAGAGGCCCAAAGUGCGACCGGUCUUUAACAAGCAUUGAACACAUGAGUGGUAUUUACUUUAGGAAAUCGCUUUAGUGCCGCGCAGCGAGCCAGAGAAGAUGCAGCCGAAGUUGCCCAGAGAGCUAUAAGUUAAGCUGCUAGGAAUUCAAUCUUCUCCAGAGUUUUCUUUGUCAUCAAUACAACCUGUCCUUAAUAGAACCGAUCUGAUUCUCUGAACAAUUGGAAUUUUGUACUUCUGUCGGAUCCUCCCUAUCUCCUGAUCGAGCUUGUGUAGGUAGAUGUUUCUUGGUAGGGCUUUUUGGUCUUCUAUCGAAACUAGUUCCGGGUAGGAGGGCAUCAGAGGGCGAGGCCCUGUUGGGCAUUUGGUAACCAGAUCGAUUAGGUACGGUCCGACAUAAGCCAAAGCAAGGGAUCCGGAACAGGUUGAACAUUCUUGCUUUGGGGGUAACCACUUCCUAAUCGUCAUCCCCUUCUUUGGAAGAAAAAAAUGGAACCUAUAAGAAUGAGUUUGGAUAACCCUUCCCACCUCAUGUUCAUAUGAAGUGCUUUCCUCAGUUGUCGAAUCGGUUUUAUCGGAAUCACUCCUCAAGAUUGGAAAAGGUACUACGAGCUACCAACAAGACUGACGAGUCUACAAAAUCGAAGGACACUGGAAGAAGGAUAUAGUCCAGCUGAACUAGGAUCUGGACUCCUUCCGAGAGGAAAGUUCCGCUACAGACAGUCGCUCUCGAGGGCAUUGUCAACAAAUGGUGAACCGCAUCUCCUUUUUACCUAAUUCUACCCAAAUACGCUCUUCGUGGUAAUCUUCACUUUCAAAAAGUUGUGGUAACAUUGCCUAUACGGUUUAUUAAGCCGAAAGAUGGUUAUUAGUUCAAGAACGUAAGGUGCCCCUGCUUUUUCAUGGUAAGAAGGGGUAGAGAAAAUGCCUCGAGCCAAUGUUCGAGUACCAGGCUACGGCGCUGAAGUAACCCAUGCCAUACUCCCAGGAAAAGCUCGAAGGACUGUAAGCAAAAAGGUACCUGUACCUGAAACCGACACAGGUGGGUAGGUAGAGAAUACCUAGGGGCGCGAGACAACUCUCUCUAAGCAACUCGAUAAGAUAGCCCCGUAACUUCGAGAGAAGGGGUGCCUCCUCAUAAAGGGGGUCGCAGUGACCAGGCCGGGGCAACUGUUUACCAAAAAUACAAGUCUCCGCAAAGUCGUAAGACCAAGUAUGGGGGCUGACGCCUGCCCAGUGCCGGAAGGUCAAGGAAGUUGGUGACCUGAUGAUAGGGGAGUCGGUGACCGAAGCCUCGGUGAACGGCGGCCGUAACUAUAACGGUCCUAAGGUAGCCAAAUUCCUUGUCGGGUAAGUUCCGACCUGCACGUAAGGCGUAACGAUCUGGGCACUGUCUCAGAGAGAGGCUCGGUGAAAUAUACAUGUCUGUGAAGAUGCAGACUACCUGCACCUGGACAGAAAGACCCUAUGAAGCUUCACUGUUCCCUGGGAUUGGCUUUAGGCCUUUUUUGCGCAGCUUAGGUGGAAGGCGAAGAAGGCCCCCUCCUGGGGGGGCCCGAGCCAUCAGUGAGAUACCACUCUAGAAGAGCUAGAAUUCUAACAUUGUGUCAGGACCUACGGGCCAAGGGACAGUCUCAGGUAGAUAGUUUCUAUGGGGCGUUGGCCUCCCAAAAGGUAAUAGAGGCGUGCAAAGGUUUCCUUGGGCCGGACGGAGAUUGGCCCUCGAGUACAAAGGCAGAAGGGAGCUUGACUGCAAGACCCACUCGUUUAGCAGGGACGAAAGUUGGCCUUAGUGAUCUGACGGUGCCGAGUGGAAGGGCCGUCACUCAACGGAUAAAAGUUACUCUAGGGAUAACAGGCUGAUCUUCCCCAAGAGCUCACAUUGAUGGGAAGGUUUGGCACCUCGAUGUUGGCUCUUCGCCACUUGGGGCUGUAGUAUAUUCCAAGGGUUGGGCUGUUCACCUAUUAAAGCGGUACGUGAGCUGGGAUCAGAACGUCGUGAGAUAGUUCGAUCCAUAUCUGGUGUGGGCGUUAGAGCAUUGAGAGGACCUUUCCCUAGUACGAGAGGAUCAGGAAGGACGCACUGCUACUGAUUCAAAAUGUAAUACUGUCAAAAGUCACAAGAAUACAACAUACUUUGGACGGGGCUAUACGCCUUGAUUUUGGCUGACUCGCGGAGCCGUCUUUGCACGAGCGAGUGCCACACCCUUCUAAGGCGCAUCUCUUUUCUUGCUUAUAAAAAAGAAAGCCGUUUUUAGCAUGUUUAGACAUUUGUACUAUUCGAGCCCCACAACUCACAUUUUGUUUUAAACAAGUUGGCCUCUACUGCCCUUUAGAAAGGAUAAAGGCU